rnacentral:lncRNA from 1 species
UUCAUUGGAGCUGCACUUGCUGCCUUAUACCACCAGGUUAUCAUAAGAGCCAUUCCAUUCAAGAGUGGAAACUGAUGAACACCUUGGCUUAAUUAUGAGCUAUGGCCAUGCCCUGUUUCUGUAAUUGGUUACUUUGUUAUGAUUGACUAUGAUGUUCAAUGUUGAUUGUGUACAAAAGCUGUUUUAUUGCUUUAUUUAUCUGUUUCUGUUAUUGGUUACUUUGCUAUGAUUGACAAUGAUGUUCAAUGUUGAUUAUGUACAAAAGCUGUUGUAUUGCUUUAUUUAUCGUAUUUGGUUUUGAAUUGAUCUUAUUUAUUUUAGCAUCUGUUUCGGUGUUAUUAUUGCCUUAUUAUGUUUGUUAUCCCUUUUGUUUAAAGCUUAACUUCUACGCGCUCAUGAUGUAAAAAAUACUUUCAUAAUCAGAAUCAUUUAUAUAAAAAAGGCCGAUAUAUGGA